AAUCCAAGCAGAAAUUUUCCUUUCCCCUGUCCCAUUGUAAGAGAAGGAGGUUGAACAAGGAGGGGGAAGGGGUAAUUAACUAUACAAAAGAACUAGCUGGCAGACCUGCAUUCCCGGCUAAUAGCCCAUCUAAAAAACUGCAGGGAGGGGGGAGGAGAUCGAAAGAGCAGAC